ACUUUCUUGGUUUAAAAAUUAAAAUUUCAUCUUGUGAUGUUGAAGACCCUUAUUAUUGGAGAAGGUA
rnacentral:tRNA from 1 species